AGUUCGAUCAUGGCUCAGAUUGAACGCUGGCGGGGAUGCCCCCACACAUGGUGCGAACGGCAGCACGGACUUCGGUCUGGUGGCGUGGCGAACGGGUGGUAAUGUAUCGGAACGUGCCCUAGUAGCGGGGGAUAACUACGCAGCGUAGCUAAUACCGCAUACGCCCUUCGAGAAAGCAGAGGACCUUCGGGCCUCGCACUAUUAGAGCGGCCGAUAUCGGAUUAAUAGUUGGUGGGGUAACGGCUCACCAAAGGCGACGAUCCGCUCGCUGGUUUGAGAGGACGACCAGCCACACUGGGACUGAGGCACGGCCCAGACUCCUACGGGAGGCAACGGUGGGGAAUUUUGGACAAUGGGGACUUCUGAUCCAGCCAUCCCGCGUGUGCGAUGAAGGCCUUCCGGGUUGUAAAAGCCCCUUUUGGCGGAAAAGAAACGGCACGGGAUAUCCCCGUGCAACUGACGAUACCUGCAGAAUAAGCACCGGCCUAACUACGUGCCAGCAGCCGCAGUAAUACGUAGGGUGCAAGCGUUAAUCGGAAUUACUGGGCGUAAAGCGUGCGCAGGCGGUUCGGAAAGAAGAUGUGAAAUCCCCAGAGCUUAACUUUGGAAUUUCAUUUUUAACUACCGAGCUGAGUGUGUCAGAGGGAGUGGGAAUUCCGCGAUGUAAGUGAAAUGCGUAGAUAUGCCAGGAGAACGCACCGAUGGCGAAGGCAGCCUGGGAUAACACUGACGCUCAUGCACGAAAGCGUGGGGAGCAAACAGGAUUAGAUACCCUGGUAGUCCACGCCUAAGCGAUGUCCAACUAACUGUUGAGGCCUUCGGGCCUUGAAGUGGCUAUUCUUGCUAUUGAGAUGACCUGCCCGCAAGGAGAGGCGGUCGCAAGACCGACUCAAAGGUGACGGGGACCUUCACUACGGUGGAUGAUGUGGAUUAAUUCGAUGCAACGCGAAAAAUUGCCUCUACCCUUGACAUGUGCAAGAUCCGAAGAGAUUUGGGAGUGCUCGCAAGAGAACGGAACACAGGUGCUGCAUAUGGCUGUCGUCGGCUCGUGUCGUGAGAUGUUGGGAUUCAAAGUCCCGCAACGAGCGCAACCCUUGUCAUUAGUUGCACGAAAGGGCGCUCUAAACAGUGCGGUGACAAACCGGAGGAAGGUGGGGGAUGACGUCAAGUCCUCAUGGCCCUUAUGGGUAGGGCUUCACACGUCAUACAAUGGUCGGGACGGAGAUUCGCCAACCCGCGAGGAGCCAAUCCCAGAAACCGAUCGAAGUCCGGAUCGCAGUCUGCAGCUCGACUGCGUGAAGUCGGAAUCGCUAGUAAUCGCGGAUCAGCAUGUCUCCUUGGUGAAUACGUUCCAGAUACUUGUACACACCGCCCGUCACACCAUGGGAGGAGUAGAUUUCAGAAGGCGUUAGCUAUUAACCGCUAUGGGGAGGGCGAUUACCACAGUGGGAUUCAUGACUGGGGUAUACAGGUAA
rnacentral:rRNA from 1 species